rnacentral:rRNA from 1 species
AGGUAGCUUGCUACUUUCGCUGUCGAGCGGCGGACGGGUGAGUAAUGCCUAGAUAUCUGCCUAGUCGUGGGGGAUAACAGUUGGAAACGACUGCUAAUACCGCAUACGCCCUACGGGGGAAAGGAGGGGACCUUCGGGCCUUUCGCGAUUAGAUGAGUCUAGGUGGGAUUAGCUAGUAGGUGAGGUAAUGGCUCACCUAGGCGACGAUCCCUAGCUGGUCUGAGAGGAUGAUCAGCCACACUGGAACUGAGACACGGUCCAGACUCCUACGGGAGGCAGCAGUGGGGAAUAUUGCACAAUGGGCGAAAGCCUGAUGCAGCCAUGCCGCGUGUGUGAAGAAGGCCUUCGGGUUGUAAAGCACUUUCAGCGAGGAGGAAAGGUAGGUAGUUAAUAACUGCUUACUGUGACGUUACUCGCAGAAGAAGCACCGGCUAACUUCGUGCCAGCAGCCGCGGUAAUACGAGGGGUGCAAGCGUUAAUCGGAAUUACUGGGCGUAAAGCGUACGCAGGCGGUUUGUUAAGCCAGAUGUGAAAGCCCUGGGCUCAACCUAGGAAUUGCAUUUGGAACUGACAGACUAGAGUCUUGUAGAGGGGGGUAGAAUUUC